rnacentral:lncRNA from 1 species
AUUAUUGUAGUCGAAUAGGACAUAUUGCUUCUGCUUGUUUUACUAGACACAGACACUUCACCACAUGUCAACCACACCACCACGUUACACCUAACUCACAAGGACCCAAAACAACUUGGGAUCAAGUGUACCAAAAACUCAUUAAUUUGACUUGUCGGUGUGUUUGAAGGGAUCAAGUGUACUUUGGUACCUUGAUAGUGGAUGCUCCAAACAU